rnacentral:sRNA from 1 species
AUGCAACGGGUGCGUACAAUCCAUUCUCUCUCCAUUUUACAGUUGUACCCCGUGUAGCUUCUUUCUUCAUAUAUCUUGUUCUAAAUUACCCAAAAUAAAACGACACCCACUUGAUUUUCACCCUCUCACCCUCAGUUAUCAGCAAGCUUCUUUUUUCUGUGUUGCCUGUCACCAGAUGUGCAACGGCUUAAAAUACAACUGUCAAAUAUGCAAGGAUAAUUACAAUGUUCAAUGUAUUUUAUUAUCAAACACCCUCACUCUUGCCUGUCAUGAGCAUCGUCUUUACCUCUCCUGGACAAACUAUCUACAAAAGUGUAGUAGUUGUAAUUUUGAAAGGUAUUUUGUAUUCCGUUGUUCCACUUGUGAAUUUGCUCUAGACUUUAAAUGUGCUACACUACCACAAGCCACAUGGUACAACCAACAUGAACAUCCCUUCAACCUCUGUUAUACUCCUGAAGAUGGCUCCGGUGAAUAUUACUGUGAAAUCUGUGAAGAAGAACGAGAUCCCAAGCAAUGGUUCUACUACUGUGCAGAGUGCAGCUUUCCCGCUCAUCGUGACUGUAUUCUUGAGGAAAAUCCAAAUGUCAAGCAACACAUAUAAUGGCCGCUAGUUGGGAGGUGCUACACAGAAAUUUGACUUUCACCCACACACAAUGUACUUUCAUUGAAGAAAUAAAGACCAAUGACAAUGUUAAAAGUGAUCUAUCAAUGUGCCUAGUGUAAUUUCAACAUUUACAAUAAUUGCUUAUAGAAAGACCAAUGUUGUUUUAAUUUUUAUUUGUAUAUUUUUCAUUUGGGUUGAGCCUUUAGUUUUAUUAUUGCGACUAUGUUACCAUUGGAUAUUACUAUUAUUAUUAUUUUUUCCCAUAAUGAUAUUGUUUCCUCUAGUUUCUUGUUGGAAUAUGAAAGACCGUAGAUGCAUAUUGAUAAGAACAGAAAAUUCCUGUGACAACCAAGCAGACAACCAAAACGAGACAUGUUAUUGUCUAUGAGUGCUUGAAACAUUUUUCAGUGAGUAGUACCAGUGUGAUAAUUCAUUUUGAGAUAUGUUAUAUGGUCUAGAAUUGUUUGGUUGAAAGUGGGUGGCAUAUAAAAAUAAAGCUUAUGAGAUUAUGCAGCUCAUUCAUGACAGUUCUGCUGCUUCUACAUUUGAGAGAAAAGAGGAAUCACAAGAAUAAGUGUUAAUGAAAAUGGACCAAUGCAUUGAGUGAACUUCUGAAGGUAUGUUUAGAGAUUAGAUGUGAACAUGGUUGGGCUUACUAGUCAGGAAUUUUGUGUUUAAUUGGUGUAAUAAGAACACAAAAGAUGUUAACUAAGUUUGGCUUGAAAGAACAAAAUAUAGAAUGGAAAUAUAGAGGAUUUGUUAAAUAUAGCUAAGGUUUAUUCUUUCAAAACUCUUAAGAAUUUUCCAUUUCUUAGAUCCCAUAAGUGGAUAUCAGCUUAAGGACAGGUUUCCAUUUGUAAUUUACUUGAGAUGCUUGAUAUUUGUAAUUAUUGUUAGUGGUUGUUGGUAUAUCUCCUGGGGAUAUCAGCUUAAGGCAAUCUUAUUAGAUAGAAAGCUUAGCUGUGAUGUUGCUUGUAACCUUUGUCUCAGAGAAACUGAAAUAAUGGAUCACCUAUUUGUGUUCUACACCUUUUCUAGAGCUAUCUAGUUUGGGUCAGAUUUAUUGAUAAAGACAGCAGAGUUUCAGCCUAAUUCACUAAAAUGGGCACUUUUAAAAUGGCUUGUCCAACAGGUUUGACAUAGGAACCUUUAAAUUUAAUUAUUCUUCUUUACAUAUAUAUAUAUAUAUAUAUCUAUAAUUGUUGUGUAAUAAUAUCUUUUUUCUAUUAUUUUUUUUAUUAUGAUUAACUUUUAUAUAUAGAAAAAAGAGAUUGUUAAAGACAAUUUUUUUUUUUUUGGAUAAUCUACACACACAAAGAUAUAUAUAUAUAUAUAUAUUACUAAUAAUUAUGGAAAUACAGAGGAUUUGUUAAAUAUAGCUAAGGUUUAUUCUUUCAAAACUCUUAAGAAUUUUCCAUUUCUUAGAUCCCAUAAGUGGAUAUCAGCUUAAGGACAGGUUUCAAUUUGUAAUUUACUUGAGAUGCUUGAUAUUUGUAAUUAUCAUUAGUAGUUGUUGGUAUAUCUCCUGUGGAUAUCAGCUUAAGGCAAUCUUAUUAGAUAGAAAGCUUAGCUGUGAUGUUGCUUGUAACCUUUGUCUCAGAGAAACUGAAAUAAUGGAUCACCUAUUUGUAUUCUACACCUUUUCUAGAGCUAUCUAGUUUGGGUCAGAUUUAUUGAUAAAGACAGCAGAGUUUCAGCCUAAUUCACUAAAAUGGGCACUUUUAAAAUGGCUCGUCCAACAGGUUUGACAUAGGAACCUUUAAAUUUAAUUAUUCUUCUUUAUAUAUAUAUAUAUAUAUAUAUCUAUAAUUGUUGUGUAAUAAUCUCUUUUUUCUAUUAUUUUUUUUAUUAUGAUUAACUUUUAUAUAUAGAAAAAAGUGAUUAUUACAGACAUUUAUUUUUUGGGAUAAUCUACACACACACACAGAUAUAUAUAUAUAUAUAUAUAUAUAUAUUACUAAUAAUAAUAAGACUAUUUCAGUAUUUCGUUUCAUUUCCAUUAAUGAACAACUUAGCUUUAAUCUCGGACUAAUGGUCAAAUCUUCUCUAAGAUAUUCCUACAUCAACUUUUUUCUUUGAUUUUUGAAAUUCCUAAGUUUAUACUCCUAUUUAUUUACAAAUUUAGCAUCUUUGGUUUAUUUAUAUGUUUCACGUUCAACUUUGGUUCUUUGUAGUUCAAUUCUCUACAGGUCCACCAAGUUUCUUUCUUUUUCUUAUCUUGUGCUUCUUACUGAAGUUUAGGUGAAUACCCAGUUGCUUAUUUUGGAUUCUCAGCUGUUAUUCAGCUUCCUUUGCAGUAGAAUCAGUAAGUAGAGGUAUUUCUUUGGUUUAUUUGUAAACUUGUAAUGUAAGCCUUCUGUGGGAAUUUGAUUGGGCUUCUGGUUUUGCUGGGCUCAUUUGGUUGAUAACAUUGGUGGGUGUGUGCCAAUAUUUUGCAAUUCAUUUCUGCUUUUGAACUUUAUAUUAACUUUUUGAAUGCAUGUAUUUUGGAGUUGCAAUUUCAUUCCUAUUUUGCAUUCAUUCUGCUCUUGAGGUGCUUUUGAGCUUCAUAUUAUAUUGGUUGCUGUAUUAAGUUAGUUUAAAUUUUGAUAAUAAACCAUAUUGACAGUGUUGCAUGUGUUUUAUGCAUUUUACCUUUUUGAAAGUAUGUCUUUGAAGUUGCAUUUCACUUUGAAGUAUGAACACAUCCUUUUUAUUGAACUCAGAUCUUGGGUGGGAUGAGAGGACUAAAUUUCAUCUCCUUGCCAAUAUUUUUGGUUCUUACAACCCUUCAAGCGGUAUGGUCACAUGGGGAUCAGCCUCUGUCAAAAAUUGCGAUUCAUAAGGCAACAGUUGAUCUUAAUCACGAUGCUUAUGUUAAAGCUUCUCCUACAGUCCUCGGAUUAAAGGUAAGCCUCAACAGCAUUGUGCUUCUUUCAUCUCUACGUAAUUAUUUAGCAUAUGUAUUUUAAUCAGGAACUUGUUUGAUUGAACUUGAUGAUCUUCAAGUUUGCAGGCUUUUUAGUUGUAAAAUAUGGCUUUUGAAUUUCCUAUGUAGAUUGUAGUUUGUAUUGGGGAUCAAACCACUAAAAUUGUGUAUAACAUAGAUUUUGUUUUGCGAUUGAUGCAAGUUUUGUUCACUGUUUUAGGAGCAAACUACAGAAUGGGUGACAUUGGAGUAUGGUUCUCCAAAGCCAUCAGCUGAUGAUUGGAUAGGAGUAUUUUCUCCUACCAAUUUCAAGUGAGUAAAUGUCAUUGCAUUUCUGAACUUUCAGUCUACAUUUCGAACCUUGUGAGCUUUUCUUGUUUUUUGUGCUUGUAAUAAACCUUAAUGGCAUUGAUCUAAUUGGAAGCUCUUCCACUUCAACAUUUUCAGUUCUUCCACCUGCCCUCAAGAAAAACCUACGGUUCAUCCUCCACAACUAUGCUCUGCUCCUAUCAAGGUUCAUCCUGCACAGCACAAUGACUUUCUGAAAUUCUUCUUGCCCAGAUUUUCUUUGAAUAGAAAAGGAGCUAAAAGAGUGAACUAGAUUGUUUUCUUUUGCAGUAUCAGUUUGCAAACUACUCCAGUCCUAACUACAAAGACACUGGUAAAGGAUAUUUGAAGCUUCAGCUGAUUAAUCAGAGAUCAGAUUUCUCAUUUGCACUACUUUCUGGUGGUUUUAUCAAAUGUACGCUCACAUAUGUCAAUGUCUGCAUAUUACGUGAUAACUUAUUUGUUUCAUAUGAAGCAAUAGUUCUUAUUCUGUUCAUCAUCAUGAACAUGACGUACUUUUUUUAAUGAAGAUAUCUAUUACCUAUCAAAAAAAAAUAAAUAAAUAAAUAAAUUAGUGUGCAAGAAACCUGGCUUACCUUGCUGGAAAAGGGUUCAUGCCUGUCUGCAUUUCUUCAAGUAUUUGCCCCUUAGUAGAGGUACUAGCUUUGAUACAAAUAGAACUGCCAAUCCUGAUAUGCUUGAGAUUUGAGAAUAUAAACUGGACCAAAAAAUUUGCACUGGACAGUGGAGAGAGAAAGAUGCAUCACCUGCUGAGCUCCAUUCCUUUAUGACACAAUCCAAGAACUAAACUAGUUUACAAAAGACACAAGGUUUCCACUGAACCCUUCAUGUUUAUUAGAAAUAUCUAGAAUAGCAAACUAUAGUUGAAUUUGAACCCAUGGUUUAGUGGACUAAUUUUUGAAGUUCGCAUUGAAGUGUUCAGAGUUCUUGUUGUAUAUAAAGUUAUAUACAAUGUAGGCUGUUAUAUAUUUAAGAUUAAAGAGGAGAGAUUUCAAAAUGCCAUUGAAAGUGCUGCUGAGCCUUGGUUUAAAGAGCUCAACUCCUAUUUGAUCGGUUGAACUUGUUUUGAUCAAUCGAGAUAUGGCUCAAUAAGUCGAAGGCUGUAUAAUAUGAGAACCCUGUUCUUUGUUCAAUUCUUGGCUUGAUGGCGAAGGAGUACUCGAUCGAUCCUAAAACCUGUUUUUCUGCAGUUUUCUAGAUGGGGAUUUUCUGGUUUGUCAAACGGCUAAUACUCUCUGAAUAUUAUAGUCAAUCAAAGUGACUGUUUUUGAAGGGGCAUAACCCUUCAGCUAUAAAUAGUGAUCUCUAUUUAUUUUUGUAAACUACCUUCUUUUACCAUUUUUCAUAAAAAUUCACAAGAAUUCUCUUGGUAAUACUACUUGAAGAAUUAUAAGCUUAGUUGUGUCUGGGAACAAAUUUGCAAUAAUCCUUUAUCAUUUGAGUGUGGGCAAAUAUUGUUUAAGAUUAGAAAGGUGAUUGUGUCUAAGCCCUCUGUUAUCUAUCUAAUUAUUGUUAUUCCUUCAUUGUAUUAUAUACUUUUCCAGAAGUUUUUGCGAUAACUGACCUCUGA